AUGGCGGCUACUAAAAUUAUAGAUGCACCGCGUAACGGCCACGAGAUGGCGCCACUGAACACACGCGCCAGAGGCGAUGGCACACAUGGAGUGACCAUCGUGCUGACUGCGCCGCAACGCAACUCGGUGCAGUCGGUGGACAUACCAGGCGAACCGGAUCGCGCCGCCUGGAGUGGCAAAAUGCAAUUCUUUCUCAGCAUCAUUGGCUACUCCGUGGGACUGGGAAACAUUUGGCGAUUUCCCUACCUGUGCCAACAGAACGGUGGCGGUGCUUUUCUGAUACCAUUCAUGAUUAUGUUAAUAUUGGAGGGUAUACCGCUCUUCCUCAUCGAACUGGGCAUGGGCCAGCGUAUGCGUCUGGGCGCGUUGGGUGUGUGGAACACCAUUCAUCCCUGGCUGGGCGGCAUUGGCAUUUCGUCGUGCAUUGUGACGCUAUUCGUGGCGCUUUACUACAACGUCAUCAUCACCUGGGUCUUCUUCUAUUUGUUCAACAGUUUUCGGUAUCCACUGCCUUGGUCGACUUGCCCGCUUAAUGGGACUGGCUUCGAGCUGGAGGAGUGCGCCAAGUCCUCGGAGACUACGUACUUUUGGUAUCGCACCACACUGGACGCCGCACCUUCAAUGGAUGAGCCUGGCGGUCUCAAGUGGUGGAUUGUGCUCUGCCUGCUGCUGUCCUGGACCAUUGUGUUCUUCAUUGUCAUGAAGGGCAUUCAGAGCUCCGGCAAGGUUGUCUACUUCACCUCGCUCUUCCCCUACAUUGUGCUCACCAUCUUCUUCAUACGCGGCAUAACGUUGCGCGGCGCCGGGGCAGGCCUCAUGCACAUGUAUACGCCCAAGAUGGAGAAGCUAUUUGAACCGACGGUGUGGCUGGACGCGGCCACUCAGGUCUUUUAUUCAUUUGGCCUGGCCUUUGGCUCGCUAAUUGCCUUCGGCAGCUACAAUACGCCCAAGAACAAUUGUGUGCGGGACGUGCUGCUGGUGUCCGUGUGCAAUGCGGUUACCGCCAUCUAUGCCAGUGUCGUCAUCUUCGCCAUUCUCGGCUUCAAGGCCACCGUCAAUGUGGAUCGCUGUGUGUCUAGCAAUACGGAAAUACUUGUAAAACAUGCGCUGCUGCCAUUCAAGAACGCCAGCAGUGAGGAGUACGAGACCGCCCUACACAAGAUUAAUCAUACUGAAUUCACGGCGCUGCAGCUCAGCGAGUGCAGCUUGUCCAAUGAGCUCGACAAUGCUGCUGAGGGCACUGGUCUGGCUUUCAUUGUAUUCACCCAAGCCAUUGUGGAGCUGCCCGGUGCUCCAUUCUGGGCGGUGCUGUUCUUUACCAUGCUGCUGUCCUUGGGCUUGGGCUCACAGAUCGGCAUACUCGAGGGCAUGCUGUGCACACUCUUCGACAUAGACAUCGUGAAGCGGGUUAAGAAACAACAUGUCACUGGUGUGGUGUGUCUAUUCUGCUUCAUUGUCGGUUUCAUCUUCUGCACAGGUGCCGGCGAGUAUUGGCUCAAGAUGUUUGACUCUUUUGCCGGCACAAUCGGUUUGGUUGUGGUGGCGCUGAUGGAAAUGAUUGCAGUGAUCUUUAUCUACGGCCAUGAGCGCUUUACUGAGGACAUUUAUCAGAUGACUGGCUAUAGACCCGGACUGUACUGGCAGCUAACUUGGCGCUACAUUGGCCCAGUGAUUAUGGUUUGCAUUCUGGGCUCUUCUGUUGUGUUUAUGGUCAUACGCAAUCCCACAUAUGGCGCCUGGAAUGCUGAACUAGGUGUUGUCGAGCAAAAGGAUUAUCCAAAUUGGGUAAUGGGCAUUGCCUUGGCUAUGAUUUUGGCUGGCGUACUGCCCAUGCCCAUUGUAUUCCUCAUGCGCAGCUUCCAGUGCCUCAAGGUGGACUUGGACAUACACCAGGGCUCCAUACGGCGCAAUGAGACAACUGCAUCUACUAAGGAAAUGAUUGAUAACGAUGAUGAUAAUAUGAGUCCGGAUAUGCCACCGCAAAAUUCAUUAGCGGCGACACGCUUCACAAUUGGAGACUUUGAAAACUAGAUAAUCCAAACACAGGCACAAGCCACGUUUUUAAGUAUCCCUCAAAAGCAAAACCAAUAGCUAUACCCAAAUCGAAACCCAACAAAAGUAGCCACAGGACAAUGCGUUUGAAAGUUCACAAAUGCUCACAACUUCGUUAAGAAAUUAUGCCACUAAGUAAAAGAUAUACAAAUAUUUUUUAAAACGCACAGCAAACUUACUACUAGCAACAAUCGCAAUGCCAUUUAAAAUGUGUCUAGAGUUUGAAAUCUCGCACUCGUCAGCGCCUUCUUUACAAACAACAAAUACUUAACAAACUUACAGCGACUACAAUUAUUUACCAGCAAUUAGACUAGUGCAAAGUUUAUAGCAUAACUAAAGUAGCGUAAACUAAGUUGAUAACUUAAAGUUUAGUCACAAUUGUGUAAUUCAAAAGGCUCAAGAGCAGUCCUUGGCUCACAUAGGGCUGUUUAAUACGAAACGACAAAACAAUUUCUAUAUAAUAAGCUGUUACCGCAAUUGGCUCACGACGAUACAGUAAUAAUAAAUUACAAGGAUGACGAGGAUGAUGAUGAUGAUGAGAACGACUUAAGUGGGCCUGCCUUGGGUGGUCAUGUGAAGACACAGAGCGACUUGUCGGAAGAG